UGGGGGAUAUUGCACAAUGGGGGGAACCCUGAUGCAGCGACGCCGCGUGAACGAAGAAAUAUUUCGGUAUGUAAAGUUCUAUCAGCAGGGAAGAAAAUGACAGUACCUGACCAAGAAGCCCCGGCUAACUACGUGCCAGCAGCCGCGGUAAUACGUAGGGGGCGAGCGUUAUCCGGAUUCACUGGGCGUAAAGGGAGCGCAGGCGGCACGGCAAGUCCGGUGUGAAAGCCCGGGGCCCAACCCCGGGACUGCACUGGAAACUGCCGGGCUGGAGUGUCGGAGGGGCAGGCGGAAUUCCUAGUG
rnacentral:rRNA from 1 species